CAACGAUGUCAGCGAUGGUAUUGUGAAUGAUAAGAAGUCAGCCGAGGCCAUAGUAGUCACUUCGUGACGAAGGGC
rnacentral:ncRNA from 1 species